CAUCUCAAUUGUCCAAAUGGCUUUCUCUCCCUGUGUCUUCUUAAUCUGCACGAAUGAAACAUAUCUGGACGAUGUAAAACCUAUCAUCUCUCCCUUCUGUUUGAAUAAUUCUCCCACCUGUCUCCUGAUUCUGCCUCUUCCUGUCCUCAUCCUGUUAGUGGUUCUCUCCUCUUCCUUCAGAUGAAAUAUUGUGUCUAGUGACGUCCGAUUGCCCAACAACCUGCCCACUCGACCAGACCCCAACCCCUCCUCCCUCCUAUGUCUGACCACUGGCUGCUUUCUCUCCAACUUCGACUGCCAGUCGUACCCCUCCUCAAGAAACGAACACUUCUCAAACAGAACCAUCCACUGACCACAGAUAUACCCUCCGACAUGGUAAAAAGAUAGCAAAACCGGCACAGACACAGACCUGGACCCACCUGAUGUCCUCUAGGUGCUCUGUCAUGCUCUGAGAAGCCUACCGUAUCCCUUCCCCAGACCUGGAUCUACCUGAUGUCCUCUAGGGGUUCUGUCAUGCUCUGAGAAGCCUACGGUAUCCCUUCCCCAGACCUGGGUCUACCUGAUGUCCUCUAGGGGUUCUGUCAUGCUCUGAGAAGCCUACGGUAUCCCUUCCCCAGACCUGGGUCUACCUGAUGUCCUCUAGGGGUUCUGUCAUGCUCUGAGAAGCCUACCGUAUCCCUUUCCCGGACCUGGAUCUACUUGAUGUCCUCCAUGAUCAACCACCCUCCAAGAUUCCACUUUUCAUUACAUUAUCUACAGCUACUGUUAAUGUCAUGUGGUUUGAUCUAAUCUGCUAUGGACCUGACCUUGACAUAUCAUCCUGGGCACAGUGAGAUACACUGAUGCACCACAUACGCUAGCACUGCAAACACUCCAAGAGCAAAGAGAACAGCUGUGCCUGGACUUUACAGACUCCGUCUUCAAGUCCACCUUCUGAGACUGGCUGCCUGUCGAGGGAAAGUGACUGGCAGAACCACCUGUAGCACCCACCUCUUUUCUAUCCCACACGCUAGAACUGAGAUUUUUUUAAAUCAGACCCUACUUCUCCCAAGACUGUCCCCAUCUCAUAUUAUGUACUUUACUUGUCAUUCAUACUUCUGUUUUCUCAACUAAAUUGUAUUUUAUUGUUUGUGUUGAUGUUUGCCUAUACUCAUGUAUUUCAGUCUGUAACUGCCAUGUGGGUAUAUACAAUAAAAUCAACAAGUUCAUGACACACCUC